rnacentral:misc_RNA from 1 species
AAGUCGUAACAAGGUUUCCGUAGGUGAACCUGCGGAAGGAUCAUUAAUGAAAUUAUGACUGGGGUUGUAGCUGGCCUAUAAAACGGCAUGUGCACGCUCCUUUCACAAUCCACACACACCUGUGCACCUUCGCGGGGGUCUUUUUAUUCUCUUCGGGGGAAUAAAGGCUCGCGUCCCUUUACACACCCUUUGUAUGUCUUAAGAAUGUCUACUCGAUGUAAUAAAACGCAUCUAAUACAACUUUCAACAACGGAUCUCUUGGCUCUC